CCUACGGGUGGCAGCAGUGGGGGAUAUUGCACAAUGGGGGGAACCCUGAUGCAGCGACGCCGCGUGAGCGAUGGAGUACUUCGGUAUGUAAAGCUCUGUCAGCAGGGAAGAAAAUGACGGUACCUGACCAAGACGCCCCGGCUAAAUACGUGCCAGCAGCCGCGGUAUUACGUAUGGGGCAAGCGUUAUCCGGAUGUGUGGGGUUAAAGGGGUGCGAAGGCGGAGGUGCAAGUCAGCGGUCAAAUUGCGGGGCUAAACCCCGUACUGCCGUUGAAACUGUAUCCCGUGAGUGGGCGAGAGGUAUGCGGAAUGCGUGGGGUAGCGGUGAAAUGCAUAGAUAUCACGCAGAACUCCGAUUGCGAAGGCAGCAUACCGGCGCGCAACUGACGCUCAUGCACGAAAGCGUGGGUAUCGAACAGGAUUAGAUACCCCUGUAGUC
rnacentral:rRNA from 1 species